UUUAAUAGAAGCCAAAUCAGCGGCCAUUCACUGUUAAUGAAUUUAUUGAUUGAAGUUUCUAAUCCUAUUAAAG
rnacentral:tRNA from 1 species